UCGAAACCUGCGAAGCAGAACGACCCGCGAACUCGUUUACCAACCCCGAGGGGGCGGGGCUUGCCUCGUCCCCCUCGGAGCCGGAGCGCGCCAUCCGGCGCGCGAAGGCACGUACCCAAACACCGGCGCGGGUUGCGCCAAGGACUACGAAUUCUAUCGCGUCCCGAGGCCCCGGGCGACCGGGCGCCGCGGCGAAGGCGUGUCGAAAAAUCGAAAAGAACGACUCUCGGCAACGGAUAUCUCGGCUCUCGCAUCGAUGAAGAACGUAGCGAAAUGCGAUACUUGGUGUGAAUUGCAGAAUCCCGUGAACCAUCGAGUCUUUGAACGCAAGUUGCGCCCGAAGCCAUCCGGCCGAGGGCACGUCUGCCUGGGCGUCACGCAUCGCGUCGCCCCCCAUCCCUCCCCGGAGCGGACAAGGGGGCGGAGUAUGGCCCCCCGUGCGCCCCCGCGCGCGGCCGGCCUAAACACGGAGCCCGCGGACGCGAGCGCCGCGACGUUUGGUGGUCGACUGCUAAGCAUCGCAUCGCGUCGCGCGCCAGAGCGUGCCCGGAUAGCUCGGAGGACCCUUAGGCCCCGAGCGGCCUACCCUUGCGACCCC
rnacentral:rRNA from 1 species